UAGUGAACCAGUACCGUGAGGGAAAGGCGAAAAGAACCCCGGCGAGGGGAGUGAAAAAGAACCUGAAACCGUGUACGUACAAGCAGUGGGAGCCCCACCACUAAGCCAGUGGUGAACUCCACAUACGCAUCCUUUGCUGAGGAUACGGUUAACGGAGCGCAAGCGACGUUCAACCUCAAAAGAAGCAGAGGGGGCUUAGUGGUGGGGUGACUGCGUACCUUUUGUAUAAUGGGUCAGCGACUUAUAUUCUGUAGCAAGGUUAACCG
rnacentral:rRNA from 1 species